rnacentral:rRNA from 1 species
UACGGAAUGUGCAACCGUUAUUCGGAAUCACUGGGCUUAAAGAGUCCGUAGGCGGCAUGUUAGGUGAGGUGUGAAAUCCCCCGGCUCAACCGAGGAAUUGCGCUUCAAACCGGCGUGCUUGAGGAAGAUAGAGGUGGGCGGAACUGAUGGUGGAGCGGUGAAAUGCGUUGAUAUCAUCAGGAAUACCGGAGGCGAAGGCGGCUCACUGGGUCUUUUCUGACGCUGAGGAACGAAAGCUAGGGGAGCAAACGGG